AAUGAACGCUGGCGGCGGGCCUAACACAUGCAAGUCGAGCGGAACGGCGGACGGGUGAGUAAUACCUAGGAAUCUGCAUGGGAGUGGGGGAUAACGUUCGGAAACGGACGACAAUACCACAUAAUUUCAGGUGGGUCUCGGUCGGAUUAGCUAGUUGGUGAGGUAAUGGCUCACCAAGGCUACGAUCCGUAACUGGCCGGAGAGGAUGAUCAGUCACACUGGAACUGAGACACGGUCCAGACUCCUACGGGAGGCAGCAGUGGGGAAUAUUGGACAAUGGGCGAAAGCCUGAUCCAGCCAUGCCGCGUGUGUGAAGAAGGUCUUCGGAUUGUAAAGCACUUUAAGUUGGGAGGCGUUACCGACAGAAUAAGCACCGGCUAACUCUGUGCCAGCAGCCGCGGUAAUAC
rnacentral:rRNA from 1 species